CUUGCUUUUGAAGAUGACGAGCGGCGGACGGGUGAGUAAUGCCUGGGAAUUUGCCCAUUUGUGGGGGAUAACAGUUGGAAACGACUGCUAAUACCGCAUACGCCCUACGGGGGAAAGCAGGGGACCUUCGGGCCUUGCGCUGAUGGAUAAGCCCAGGUGGGAUUAGCUAGUAGGUGAGGUAAAGGCUCACCUAGGCGACGAUCCCUAGCUGGUCUGAGAGGAUGAUCAGCCACACUGGGACUGAGACACGGCCCAGACUCCUACGGGAGGCAGCAGUGGGGAAUAUUGCACAAUGGGGGAAACCCUGAUGCAGCCAUGCCGCGUGUGUGAAGAAGGCCUUCGGGUUGUAAAGCACUUUCAGCGAGGAGGAAAGGGUGUAAGUUAAUACCUUACAUCUGUGACGUUACUCGCAGAA
rnacentral:rRNA from 1 species